AACUGAUACUACCUGCGGGAACCUGCGGAGGGAUCAUUACCGAGUUUACAACUCCCAAACCCAAUGUGAACGUUACCAAACUGUUGCCUCGGCGGGAUCUCUGCCCCGGGUGCGUCGCAGCCCCGGACCAAGGCGCCCGCCGGAGGACCAACCAAAAACUCUUUUUGUAUACCCCCUCGCGGGUUUUUUAUAUCUGAGCCUUUCUCGGCGCCCCUUCGUGGGCGUUUCGAAAAUGAAUCA
rnacentral:misc_RNA from 1 species